GAGAAGCCUGCGGCGGAUUAGCUUGUUGGUAGGGUAAUGGCCUACCAAGGCGACGAUCCGUAACCGGCCUGAGAGGGCGGUCGGUCACACUGACACUGACAUACGGGUCAGACUCCUACGGGAGGCAGCAGUCGGGAAUUUUGGGCAAUGGGCGAAAGCCUGACCCAGCAACGCCGCGUGAAGGAUGAAAUCCCUCGGGAUGUAAACUUCGCAAGAAUGGGAAGAAUAAGUAGAGGCGAAUACCCUUUAUGAUGACGGUACCAUUUGUAAGCUCCGGCUAACUUCGUGCCAGCAGCCGCGGUAAUACGAGGGGAGCAAGCGUUGUUCGGAUUUACUGGGCGUAAAGGGCGCGUAGGCGGCCACGACAAGUCACUUGUGAAAUCUCCGGGCUUAACUCGGAACGGUCAAGUGAUACUGUCGGGCUAGAGUACAGAAGGGGCAACUGGAAUUCUCGGUGUAGCGGUGAAAUGCGUAGAUAUCGAGAGGAACACCUGCGGCGAAGGCGGGUUACUGGGCUGAUACUGACGCUGAUGCGCGAAAGCCAGGGGAGCGAACGGGAUUAGAUACCCCGGUAGUCCUGGCCUUAAACGAUGAAUGCUUAGUGU
rnacentral:rRNA from 1 species